rnacentral:rRNA from 1 species
ACGCUAGCUACAGGCUUAACACAUGCAAGUCGAGGGGCAGCAUGGAAGAAGCUUGCUUCUUCUGAUGGCGACCGGCGCACGGGUGCGUAACGCGUAUCAAACCUGCCUCAUACUCGGGGAUAGCCUUGCGAAAGUAAGAUUAAUACCCGAUGUUGUUAUGUUUCCGCAUGGUGAUAUAACCAAAGAUUUAUCGGUAUGAGAUGGUGAUGCGUCCGAUUAGGUAGUAGGCGGGGUAACGGCCCACCUAGCCAUCGAUCGGUAGGGGUUCUGAGAGGAAGGUCCCCCACACUGGAACUGAGACACGGUCCAGACUCCUACGGGAGGCAGCAGUGAGGAAUAUUGGUCAAUGGACGGAAGUCUGAACCAGCCAAGUAGCGUGCAGGAUGACAGCCCUCCGGGUUGUAAACUGCUUUUAGUUGGGAAUAAAAAGAGGGACGUGUCCCUCAUUGUAUGUACCUUCAGAAAAAGGACCGGCUAAUUCCGUGCCAGCAGCCGCGGUAAUACGGAAGGUCCAGGCGUUAUCCGGAUUUAUUGGGUUUAAAGGGAGCGUAGGCGGAUUAUUAAGUCAGUGGUGAAAGACGGUGGCUCAACCAUCGUUAGCCAUUGAAACUGGUAGUCUUGAGUGCAGACAGGGAUGCUGGAACUCGUGGUGUAGCGGUGAAAUGCUUAGAUAUCACGAUGAACUCCGAUCGCGAAGGCAGGUGUCCGGGCUGCAACUGACGCUGAGGCUCGAAAGUGUGGGUAUCAAACAGGAUUAGAUACCCUGGUAGUCCACACAGUAAACGAUGUAUACUCGCGGUUUGCGAUACAAUGUAAGCCGCCAAGCGAAAGCAUUAAGUAUACCACCUGGGGAGUACGCCGGCAACGGUGAAACUCAAAGGAAUUGACGGGGGCCCGCACAAGCGGAGGAACAUGUGGUUU